rnacentral:misc_RNA from 1 species
UCGAAUUACAAAGGCGAGGGUUGUCGCUGGCCUUUCGAGGCAUGUGCACGCCCGAGCCCUUUAAUCCAACCUUCAACCCCUGUGAACUCUCUGUAGGGCGUCUCUCUCGGGAGCGUCCUAUGUUUAAACACAAACCAAGUAUGUCUACAGAAUGUAAAAUCGAUAUCUUCGGCCUAAAAAACCGUCGGUAAACUUUAUA